rnacentral:rRNA from 1 species
GGGAGUACGUCGCCAGAUUAAACUCAAAGAAUUGACGGGGACCCGCACAAGCGGUGGAUGAUGUGGAUUAAUUCGAUGCAACGCGAAGAACCUUACCUACCCUUGACAUGGCUGGAAUCCUUAAGAGAUUAGGGAGUGCUCGCAAGAGAACCAGUACACAGGUGCUGCAUGGCUGUCGUCAGCUCGUGUCGUGAGAUGUUGGGUUAAGUCCCGCAACGAGCGCAACCCUUGUCAUUAGUUGCUACGAAAGGGCACUCUAAUGAGACUGCCGGUGACUAACCGGAGGAAGGUGGGGAUGACGUCAAGUCCUCAUGGCCCUUAUGGGUAGGGCUUCACACGUCAUACAAUGGUACAUACAGAGGGCCGCCAACCCGCGAGGGGGAGCUAAUCCCAGAAAGUGUAUCGUAGUCCGGAUUGUAGUCUGCAACUCGACUGCAUGAAGUUGGAAUCGCUAGUAAUCGCGGAUCAGCAUGUCGCGGUGAAUACGUUC